AUUGAACGCUGGCGGCAGGCCUAACACAUGCAAGUCGAGCGAGCGGCGGACGGGUGAGUAAUGUCUGGGAAACUGCCUGUUGGAGGGGGAUAACUACUGGAAACGGUAGCUAAUACUGCAUACCAUCAGAUGUGCCCAGAUGGGAUUAGCUAGUAGGUGGGGUAACGGCUCACUUAGGCGACGAUCCCGAGCUGGUCUGAGAGGAUGACCAGCAAAACUGGAACUGAGAGACGGUCCAGACUCCCACGGGAGGCAGCAGGGGGGAAUAUUGCGCAAUUGGCGCAAGCCUGAAGCAGCCAUGCCGCGUGUGUGAAGAGGGCCUUCGGGUUGUAAAGCACUUUCAGCGGGGAGGCGUUACCCGCAGAAGAAGCACUGGCUAACUCCGUGCCAGCAGCCGCGGUAAUUC
rnacentral:rRNA from 1 species